UACGGGAGGCAGCAGUGGGGAAUAUUGCACAAUGGGCGAAAGCCUGAUGCAGCUAUGCCGCGUGUAUGAAGAAGGCCUUAGGGUUGUAAAGUACUUUCAUCGGGGAGGAAAAAACAAAACUAAUAAUUUUAUUUCUUGACGUUACCCGAAAAAGAAGCACCGGCUAACUCCGUGCCAGCAGCCGCGGUAAUACGGAGGGUGCUAGCGUUAAUCAGAAUUACUGGGCGUAAAGAGCACGUAGGUGGUUUUUUAAGUCAGAUGUGAAAUCCCUGGGCUUAACCUAGGAACUGCAUUUUGAAACUGAAAUACUAGAGUAUCGUAGAGGGAGGUAGAAUUCUAGGUGUAGCGGUGAAAUGCGUAGAUAUCUGGAGGAAUACCUGUGGCGAAAGCGGCCUCCUAAACGAAUACUGACACUGAGGUGCGAAAGGCGUGGGGAGCGAAAACAGGGAUUAGAUACC
rnacentral:rRNA from 1 species